rnacentral:rRNA from 1 species
GACGAACGUUGGCGGCGUGCUUAACACAUGCAAGUCGAACGGAAAGGCCCUGCUUUUGUGGGGUGCUCGAGUGGCGAACGGGUGAGUAACACGUGAGUAACCUGCCCUUGACUUUGGGAUAACUUCAGGAAACUGGGGCUAAUACCGGAUAGGAGCUCCUGCUGCAUGGUGGGGGUUGGAAAGUUUCGGCGGUUGGGGAUGGACUCGCGGCUUAUCAGCUUGUUGGUGGGGUAGUGGCUUACCAAGGCUUUGACGGGUAGCCGGCCUGAGAGGGUGACCGGCCACAUUGGGACUGAGAUACGGCCCAGACUCCUACGGGAGGCAGCAGUGGGGAAUAUUGCACAAUGGGCGGAAGCCUGAUGCAGCAACGCCGCGUGCGGGAUGACGGCCUUCGGGUUGUAAACCGCUUUCGCCUGUGACGAAGCGUGAGUGACGGUAAUGGGUAAAGAAGCACCGGCUAACUACGAGCCAGCAGCCGCGGUGAUACGUAGGGUGCGAGCGUUGUCCGGAUUUAUUGGGCGUAAAGGGCUCGUAGGUGGUUGAUCGCGUCGGAAGUGUAAUCUUGGGGCUUAACCCUGAGCGUGCUUUCGAUACGGGUUGACUUGAGGAAGGUAGGGGAGAAUGGAAUUCCUGGUGGAGCGGUGGAAUGCGCAGAUAUCAGGAGGAACACCAGUGGCGAAGGCGGUUCUCUGGGCCUUUCCUGACGCUGAGGAGCGAAAGCGUGGGGAGCGAACAGGCUUAGAUACCCUGGUAGUCCACGCUGUAAACGGUGGGUACUAGGUGUGGGGUCCAUUCCACGGGUUCCGUGCCGUAGCUAACGCUUUAAGUACCCCGCCUGGGGAGUACGGCCGCAAGGCUAAAACUCAAAGGAAUUGACGGGGCCCCGCACAAGCGGCGGAGCAUGCGGAUUAAUUCGAUGCAACGCGUAGAACCUUACCUGGGUUUGACAUGGAUCGGGAGUGCUCAGAGAUGGGUGUGCCUCUUUUGGGGUCGGUUCACAGGUGGUGCAUGGCUGUCGUCAGCUCGUGUCGUGAGAUGUUGGGUUAAGUCCCGCAACGAGCGCAACCCUUGUUCACUGUUGCCAGCACGUUAUGGUGGGGACUCAGUGGAGACCGCCGGGGUCAACUCGGAGGAAGGUGGGGAUGACGUCAAGUCAUCAUGCCCCUUAUGUCCAGGGCUUCACGCAUGCUACAAUGGCUGGUACAGAGAGUGGCGAGCCUGUGAGGGUGAGCGAAUCUCGGAAAGCCGGUCUCAGUUCGGAUUGGGGUCUGCAACUCGACCUCAUGAAGUCGGAGUCGCUAGUAAUCGCAGAUCAGCAACGCUGCGGUGAAUACGUUCCCGGG